rnacentral:SRP_RNA from 3 species
GCCUGAUGGGUGACGAUUGUGAUUAAUAGUGAACUCCGCCAGGUCGGGAACGAAGCAACGGCAUCUGUUGUCGCUUUGUGUUGCCAUAUCGGGCUGC